rnacentral:rRNA from 1 species
UACGUAGGGUGCAAGCGUUUAAUCGGAAUUACUGGGCGUAAAGCGUGCGCAGGCGGUUAUGUAAGACAGAUGUGAAAUGCCCGGGCUUAACCUGGGAACUGCAUUUGUGACUGCAUGGCUAGAGUUUGGCAGAGGGGGGUAGAAUUCCACGUGUAGCAGUGAAAUGCGUAGAUAUGUGGAGGAACACCGAUGGCGCAAGGCAGCCCCCUGGGUCAAGACUGACGCUCAU